rnacentral:rRNA from 1 species
AACCUACCUAUAAGACUGAGAUAACUUCGGGAAACCGGAGCUAAUACCGGAUAAUAUAUUGAACCGCAUGGUUCAAUAGUGAAAGACGGUUUUGCUGUCACUUAUAGAUGGAUCCGCGCCGCAUUAGCUAGUUGGUAAGGUAACGGCUUACCAAGGCAACGAUGCGUAGCCGACCUGAGAGGGUGAUCGGCCACACUGGAGCUGAGACACGGUCCAG